rnacentral:rRNA from 1 species
UGCAGUCGACGAACCUUCGGGUUAGUGGCGGACGGGUGAGUAACGCGUGAGAAUCUGCCCUCAGGAGGGGGAUAACAGUUGGAAACGACUGCUAAUACCCCAUAUGCCGAGAGGUGAAACGAAUUUUGCCUGGGGAUGAGCUCGCGUCUGAUUAGCUUGUUGGUGGGGUAAAAGCCUACCAAGGCUUCGAUCAGUAGCUGGUCUGAGAGGACGAUCAGCCACACUGGGACUGAGAUACGGCCCAGACUCCUACGGGAGGCAGCAGUGGGGAAUUUUCCGCAAUGGGCGCAAGCCUGACGGAGCAACGCCGCGUGAGGGAUGAAGGCCUUUGGGCUGUAAACCUCUUUUCUCAAGGAAGAAGAUCUGACGGUACUUGAGGAAUAAGCCACGGCUAAUUCCGUGCCAGCAGCCGCGGUAAUACGGGAGUGGCAAGCGUUAUCCGGAAUUAUUGGGCGUAAAGCGUCCGCAGCGGCCGUUUAAGUCUGUUGUUAAAUCGUGGAGCUCAACUCCAUCACCGCAAUGGAAACUGGUCUGGAAACUGUUCGGCUUGAGUAUGGUAGGGGCAGAGGGAAUUUCCGGUGUAGCGGUGAAAUGCGUAGAUAUCGGGAAGAACACCAGUGGCAAAAGCGCUCUGCUGGGCCAUUACUGACGCUCAUGGACGAAGCAGGGGAGCGAAAGGGAUUAGAUACCCCUGUAGUCUGGCGUAACGAUGACACUAGAUGUGGGGGAUCGACC